GACGAACGCUGGCGGCGCGCCUAACACAUGCAAGUCGAACGGAGCUGAGAGGAGCUUGCUUUUCUUAGCUUAGUGGCGAACGGGUGAGUAACGCGUGAGUAACCUGCCCUGGAGUGGGGGACAACAGUUGGAAACGACUGCUAAUACCGCAUAAGCCCACGGCCCGGCAUCGGGCUGAGGGAAAAGGAUUUAUUCGCUUCAGGAUGGACUCGCGUCCAAUUAGCUAGUUGGUGAGGUAACGGCCCACCAAGGCGACGAUUGGUAGCCGGACUGAGAGGUUGAACGGCCACAUUGGGACUGAGACACGGCCCAGACUCCUACGGGAGGCAGCAGUGGGGGAUAUUGCACAAUGGGGGAAACCCCGAUGCAGCGACGCCGCGUGGAGGAAGAAGGUUUUCGGAUUGUAAACUCCUGUCGUUAGGGACGAUAAUGACGGUACCUAACAAGAAAGCACCGGCUAACUACGUGCCAGCCGCCGCGGUAA
rnacentral:rRNA from 1 species